AGAGUUUGAUCCUGGCUCAGGAUGAACGCUAGCGACAGGCCUAACACAUGCAAGUCGAGGGGUAACAGGGGAGCUUGCUUCCGCUGACGACCGGCGCACGGGUGAGUAACGCGUAUGCAACCUGCCUAUUACAGGGGGAUAGCCCGGAGAAAUCCGGAUUAAUACCCCAUAGUCAUUAUAGUCCGCAUGGAUUUAAAUGUAAAGAAUUUCGGUAAUAGAUGGGCAUGCGUAAGAUUAGUUAGUUGGUGAGGUAACGGCUCACCAAGACCACGAUCUUUAGGGGUUCUGAGAGGAAGGUCCCCCACACUGGUACUGAGACACGGACCAGACUCCUACGGGAGGCAGCAGUGAGGAAUAUUGGGCAAUGGAGGCAACUCUGACCCAGCCAUGUCGCGUGCAGGAAGACUGCCCUAUGGGUUGUAACUGCUUUUAUAUAGGAAUAGCUAUGCGAUUCGUUCGCAAAAUGAAUGUACUAUAUGAAUAAGGAUCGGCUAACUCCGUGCCAGCAGCCGCGGUAAUACGGAGGAUUCGAGCGUUAUCCGGAUUUAUUGGGUUUAAAGGGUGCGUAGGCGGGCCUUUAAGUCAGUGGUGAAAUCCUGCAGCUCAACUGUAGAAUUGCCAUUGAAACUGAAGGUCUUGAAUAUGGACGAGGUAGGCGGAAUGAGUUACGUAGCGGUGAAAUGCAUAGAUAUAACUCAGAACACCGAUUGCGUAGGCAGCUUACCAGACCAUUAUUGACGCUGAGGCACGAAAGCGUGGGUAGCGAACAGGAUUAGAUACCCUGGUAGUCCACGCCGUAAACGAUGUUCACUCGCUGCUAGCGAUACACAGUUAGUGGCUAAGCGAAAGUGAUAAGUGAACCACCUGGGGAGUACGUCGGCAACGAUGAAACUCAAAGGAAUUGACGGGGGCCCGCACAAGCGGUGGAACAUGUGGUUUAAUUCGAUGAUACGCGAGGAACCUUACCUGGACUUAAAUGUAGAUUGCAUAGCUUAGAAAUAGGCUUUUCUUCGGACUAUCUACAAGGUGCUGCAUGGUUGUCGUCAGCUCGUGCCGUGAGGUGUCGGGUUAAGUCCCAUAACGAGCGCAACCCCUAUCGUUAGUUGCUAACAGGUCAAGCUGAGGACUCUGACGAGACUGCCGGUGUAAACCGCGAGGAAGGUGGGGAUGACGUCAAAUCAGCACGGCCCUUACGUCCAGGGCUACACACGUGUUACAAUGGCCGAUACAGAGGGCAGCUACUUGGCAACAAGAUGCGAAUCUCGAAAAUCGGUCUCAGUUCGGAUCGGAGCCUGCAACUCGACUCCGUGAAGUUGGAAUCGCUAGUAAUCGCGUAUCAGCAACGACGCGGUGAAUACGUUCCCGGGCCUUGUACACACCGCCCGUCAAGCCAUGGAAGCUGGGGGUACCUAAAGUGCGUAACCGUAAGGAGCGUCCUAGGGUAAAACUAGUGACUGGGGCUAAGUCGUAACAAGGUA
rnacentral:rRNA from 1 species